rnacentral:rRNA from 1 species
AGUGAACGCUGGCGGUAGGCCUAACACAUGCAAGUCGAACGGCAGCACAGUAAGAGCUUGCUCUUACGGGUGGCGAGUGGCGGACGGGUGAGGAAUACAUCGGAAUCUACUUUUUCGUGGGGGAUAACGUAGGGAAACUUACGCUAAUACCGCAUACGACCUACGGGUGAAAGCAGGGGAUCUUCGGACCUUGCGCGAUUGAAUGAGCCGAUGUCGGAUUAGCUAGUUGGCGGGGUAAAGGCCCACCAAGGCGACGAUCCGUAGCUGGUCUGAGAGGAGGAUCAGCCACACUGGAACUGGGACACGGUCCAGACUCCUACGGGAGGCAGCAGUGGGGAAUAGUGGACAAUGGGCGCAAGCCUGAUCCAGCCAUACCGCGUGGGUGAAGAAGGCCUUCGGGUUGUAAAGCCCUUUUGUUGGGAAAGAAAAGCAGCAGGUUAAUACCCCGCUGUUCUGACGGUACCCAAAGAAUAAGCACCGGCUAACUUCGCG